GUCCACGCUGUAAACGAUGGGCACUAGGUGUCGCGGGUAUUGACCCCUGCGGUGCCGCAGCUAACGCAUUAAGUGCCCCGCCUGGGGACUACGGCCGCAAGGUUAAAACUCAAAGGAAUUGACGGGGGCCCGCACAAGCGGUGGAGCAUGUGGUUCAAUUCGACGCAACGCGAAGAACCUUACCCGGGCUAGACAACAGAGGAAACCUUAGAAAUAAGGUCUUCCCUUCGGGGACCUCUGGUUCAGGUGCUGCAUGGCUGUCGU
rnacentral:rRNA from 1 species